rnacentral:rRNA from 1 species
CAGUACCGCGGGAAUACGAAGGGUGCAAGCGUUACUCGGAAUUACUGGGCGUAAAGCGUGCGUAGGUGGUGGUUUAAGUCCGUUGUGAAAGCCCUGGGCUCAACCUGGGAAUUGCAGUGGAUACUGGGUCACUAGAGUGUGGUAGAGGAUAGUGGAAUUUCCGGUGUAGCAGUGAAAUGCGUAGAGAUCGGAAGGAACAUCUGUGGCGAAGGCGACUAUCUGGGCCAACACUGACACUGAGGCACGAAAGCGUGGGGAGCAAACAGGAUUAGAGACCCGCGUAGUCCCUGUCUCUUAUACA